rnacentral:lncRNA from 1 species
UAUGAUGCGCCAUUAUCCUGUUUGUGCCUCUAUUUAAGAAUUUGAUAGCCUACCAAAAAUUUAAGAAUUUGUGCUUCUAUAUGUUGAAGUUAAUUAUAUAUACAACAGUGCUUAAAAAUGUCAUAAAAAUAACUAAAUACACAAAUGUAUAUGCUUAACCUUGAAUCAAACUUUUGUGUAAAAUCUUCUAACACCAUUGCCA